CCUACGGGAGGCUGCAGUCGAGAAUCAUUCACAAUGGGGGAAACCCUGAUGGUGCGACGCCGCGUGGGGGAAUGAAGGUCUUCGGAUUGUAAACCCCUGUCAUGUGGGAGCAAAUUAAAAAGAUAGUACCACAAGAGGAAGAGACGGCUAACUCUGUGCCAGCAGCCGCGGUAAUACAGAGGUCUCAAGCGUUGUUCGGAAUCACUGGGCGGAAAGCGUGCGGAGGCUGUUUCGUAAGUCGUGUGUGAAAGGCGCGGGCUCAACCCGCGGACGGCACAUGAUACUGCGAGACUAGAGUAAUGGAGGGGGAACCGGAAUUCUCGGUGUAGCAGUGAAAUGCGUAGAGAUCGAGAGGAACACUCGUGGCGAAGGCGGGUUCCUGGACAUUAACUGACGCUGAGGCACGAAGGCCAGGGGAGCGAAAGGGAUUAGAUACCCUUGUAGUC
rnacentral:rRNA from 1 species